ensembl:lncRNA
CCAGCAUCAAUGUCAGCCUCAGAACAAUCUUUUUCUUGAACAGGAUUUCCGGAUGACCAUGAAACUACUAGUCCUAGUGGUGUGCCUGAUUGGACUGUGUUCCUCCAUUCCUGUAAGUUUUCAAGAGUAAAACAUUUUCUUUGCAAUUUACACAUCAAUAGAGACUCCACAUAUUCCCCAGAUUUCUUUGCUCUGAAAUAUCAGCGCCAAGUUUUGCUAUCAUGGACUACUAUUUAAUGUAGAUGUACACGGCAAUAACAUGUAUUCUGGGAUUCUUUUUGUGGGAGCAGGUGUCUAAGAAACAUGAUAGAGAGGAGCGCUCUUCGAGUCAUGAGGUCUGUAUAGUCUAUUACAGAUAAUUUGUAUGUAAUGGUACCACAACAGAGUUUACACUAUUAGAAAAAACAUGACUAUGUUUCGGUUUCCCUACAUUCCUGUAACUUUAAUCUUUCUUUCUAUUACAGGGGUAUAGGGGUUUUGGGGGGUUCUACCCCUAUCCUCAGUACUUCCCACCAGCUCCCCAGGGUGACUCUGACCUCAUGGCCCUGCUGCCCUUGCUAUUGGCAAGACCAGUUCCUGCACCAGUCCCUGCCCCACCUGCCCCAUCUAUCCUAUCUUACUUAACUUCCUUUCUUGGAAGGUAAUAGAAAUUAGAUGGUCUUUGAUGGAAGACUGGCUAGAAAAUUUACUACAAUGUCAACUCUACUGCAAAGCUAAGAAUUCCACUAAAAAUAAAUAAAUACAAUUUAGACUGCUCUUCAUGGAUGAUUUUUGAAAGGAGUGGAGCAGCACUUCUCCCUUUUUUAUAUGUUGUGCUUUAUUUACGCAUUAGUAAAGUUGUGAUAAACAGAAAAGAUGGGUGUGUUAGCCAAAUGGCUAAAACCCAUAAUCCUGUGGCUGUACUCAGUUGGAAUAUACAAGCCACUUUUAAGUGUUUGUCUUUGUCUGUUCUGUUCUGUGCUUCACAGAAUUUAGAAACAAUUCUAUUUUAGAUGUUUUCAGAACAUGUCUAGACAUGAAACCUCUCAAACAUAAGUUUAAUGCUCUAAAACGUUUGCACCACAAAAAAGAAUAAAAGUUGGACAGUUCGACUAUGUAAAUGUAAAUUAAAUAAUUGCAAUAAUAAUUUGUAUACAGUUAAUAGAUAAUUUAUAUUAUUACAAAAUGCAACUGUCAUCAAAAGAUGACCAUUACGAUCUGCCAGAACAUUAGUUGUUGUAUAACAACCUGAAUUACUGAGAAGUUGAAAACAUGAGUGGACAUGAAACUCAGGUGUGGGCUCUACAAUGUUCAAACAAGAUUGAGAAGAAAUUGCCAUUACUAGGUGAACAGGAAUGACACUGAAGACCUGUCAUGACACUGUGGUAUACUGGUGCAAUAUGAAGCAAUAUAUCAUUAUUGACAUAUAAUGAAUGUAGUUUUUGAGAGAUUAAAUUUUUUAUCGUUAACACAAACAGAUGUUUUAGGUCAUUUUGAGCCUUUUGUGUAGUAUGACUUUAGAUAGAAUUUACAUGUCAAAGAGUCACACAAUAAUGAGGACACACAAUAAUUAAACAAUUAUUAGUAAAUGCUUUGUAUGUAUCUUUAUUACUGUAAUCAUGAAGUGCAAUAAUAGUAUUGAAAAUAAUAUGAACCAACAAACUGGUUAACCAUUUACAAUUUUCUAAUUCAUAAUACUGAACCCAUC